CCUUGGGUUUCUGCCAGGGAGACAGGGGAUCUGGAAGAACACAGGACUGGGACAGGCCCAGUCUGCAGGCUGGAGAUGCAGGGCCCCCAGAAGGUGACUAUACUUGGAGACGGGACCAUUACAGAGACACACAGGGAGAAGAUGGCCGUCUACAGACCAAGGAGGAAGGCCUGGGCCAGAUCCUUCCCUCGUGGCCCUCAGAAGAAACCACCCAUCACAGAUUUCUGUCUCCAGAACUAGGAGAAGAUAUAUUUCUGCUGUUUAAGCCCCCCACCCCCCUAUUCCGUGGCGCUUUAUAAGGGUGGCAAAUUAACAUGGACGCUUAAAGGUUGGGAGGUCUGCACGACCUUGAGGCUGCCUGGGCUCACCGAGUGUGUGUCGAAAAGGGGGGUCGGCUUUUGUCCUAGCCUUGCUGUGUUAUUUUAAUUUGAAGCAAAAUUGAUCUAUUACUCUCCUC